AUUGAACGCUGGCGGCAUGCCUUACACAUGCAAGUCGAACGGUAACGCGGGGCAACCUGGCGACGAGUGGCGAACGGGUGAGUAAUGCAUCGGAACGUGCCCAGAAGUGGGGGAUAGCCCGGCGAAAGCCGGAUUAAUACCGCAUGAGACCUGAGGGUGAAAGCGGGGGAUCGCAAGACCUCGCGCCUUUGGAGCGGCCGAUGUUGGAUUAGCUUGUUGGUGGGGUAAAGGCCUGCCAAGGCGACGAUCUGUAGCGGGUCUGAGAGGACGACCAGCCACACUGGGACUGAGACACGGCCCAGACUCCUACGGGAGGCAGCAGUGGGGAAUUUUGGACAAUGGGCGCAAGCCUGAUCCAGCCAUGCCGCGUGCGGGAAGAAGGCCUUCGGGUUGUAAACCGCUUUUGUCAGGGAAGAAACGCUCUGGGCUAAUACCCUGGGGUAAUGACGGUACCUGAAGAAUAAGCACCGGCUAACUACGUG
rnacentral:rRNA from 1 species